rnacentral:rRNA from 1 species
UACGGAGGGUGCGAGCGUUGCUCGGAAUUAUUGGGCGUAAAGCGUACGCAGGCGGCUCGGCAAGUCGAGUGUGAAAUCCCGGGGCUCAACUCCGGAACUGCAUCCGAUACUGCCGGGCUUGAGUGCGGGAGAGGGAAGCGGAAUUCCUGGUGUAGAGGUGAAAUUCGUAGAUAUCAGGAGGAACACCGGUGGCGAAAGCGGCUUCCUGGCCCGACACUGACGCUCAUGUACGAAAGCGUGGGGAGCAAACAGG